GGGAAUCUUCCGCAAUGGGCGAAAGCCUGACGGAGCAACGCCGCGUGAGUGAUGAAGGUCUUAGGAUCGUAAAACUCUGUUGUUAGGGAAGAACAAAUUUGUUAGUAACUGAACAAGUCUUGACGGUACCUAACCAGAAAGCCACGGCUAACUACGUGCCAGCAGCCGCGGUAAUACGUAGGUGGCAAGCGUUAUCCGGAAUUAUUGGGCGUAAAGCGCGCGUAGGCGGUUUCUUAAGUCUGAUGUGAAAGCCCACGGCUCAACCGUGGAGGGUCAUUGGAAACUGGGGAACUUGAGUGCAGAAGAGGAGAGUGGAAUUCCAUGUGUAGCGGUGAAAUGCGCAGAGAUAUGGAGGAACACCAGUGGCGAAGGCGGCUCUCUGGUCUGUAACUGACGCUGAUGUGCGAAAGCGUGGGGAUCAAACAGG
rnacentral:rRNA from 1 species